GGACUACUGGGGUAUCUAAUCCUGUUUGCUCCCCACGCUUUCGCGUCUCAGCGUCAGUAUCCGUCCAGAGGGCCGCCUUCGCCACCGGUGUUCCUCCUGAUAUCUACGCAUUUCACCGCUACACCAGGAAUUCCACCCUCCUCUCCGGUACUCCAGUCUCCCAGUUUCCAAUGCACUUCCGGGGGUGAGCCCCGGGAUUUCACAUCAGACUUAAAAGACCGCCUACACGCGCUUUACGCCCAGUGAUUCCGAACAACGCUUGCACCCUCCGUAUUACCGCGGCGGCUGGCAC
rnacentral:rRNA from 1 species